ensembl:snRNA U6 U6 spliceosomal RNA
GUGCUCACUUUGGCAGCACAUAGAUUAAAACUGGGGCAAUACAGAGAAGAUCCGUAUGGCCUCUGCACAAUGGUGAUACACAAAUUUUUGAAGUAUUCUAUAUUUUU